rnacentral:rRNA from 1 species
GAUGAACGCUGGCGGCGUGCUUAACACAUGCAAGUCGAACGGAAAGGCCCAAGCUUGCUUGGGUGCUCGAGUGGCGAACUGGUGAGUAACACGUGGGUGAUCUGCCCUGCACUUUGGGAUAAGCCUGGGAAACUGGGUCUAAUACCGGAUAGGACCAUCGUUUAGUGUCGGUGGUGGAAAGUUUUUCGGUGUGGGAUGAGCUCGCGGCCUAUCAGCUUGUUGGUGGGGUAAUGGCCUACCAAGGCGUCGACGGGUAGCCGGCCUGAGAGGGUGUACGGCCACAUUGGGACUGAGAUACGGCCCAGACUCCUACGGGAGGCAGCAGUGGGGAAUAUUGCACAAUGGGCGCAAGCCUGAUGCAGCGACGCCGCGUGGGGGAUGACGGCCUUCGGGUUGUAAACUCCUUUCGCCAAGGACGAAGCGUUUUGUGACGGUACUUGGAGAAGAAGCACCGGCUAACUACGUG